rnacentral:rRNA from 1 species
GCAAGUCGAACGAACUCUGGUAUUGAUUGGUGCUUGCAUCAUGAUUUACAUUUGAGUGAGUGGCGAACUGGUGAGUAACACGUGGGAAACCUGCCCAGAAGCGGGGGAUAACACCUGGAAACAGAUGCUAAUACCGCAUAACAACUUGGACCGCAUGGUCCGAGUUUGAAAGAUGGCUUCGGCUAUCACUUUUGGAUGGUCCCGCGGCGUAUUAGCUAGAUGGUGGGGUAACGGCUCACCAUGGCAAUGAUACGUAGCCGACCUGAGAGGGUAAUCGGCCACAUUGGGACUGAGACACGGCCCAAACUCCUACGGGAGGCAGCAGUAGGGAAUCUUCCACAAUGGACGAAAGUCUGAUGGAGCAACGCCGCGUGAGUGAAGAAGGGUUUCGGCUCGUAAAACUCUGUUGUUAAAGAAGAACAUAUCUGAGAGUAACUGUUCAGGUAUUGACGGUAUUUAACCAGAAAGCCACGGCUAACUACGUGCCAGCAGCCGCGGUAAUACGUAGGUGGCAAGCGUUGUCCGGAUUUAUUGGGCGUAAAGCGAGCGCAGGCGGUUUUUAAGUCUGAUGUGAAAGCCUUCGGCUCAACCGAAGAAGUGCAUCGGAAACUGGGAAACUUGAGUGCAGAAGAGGACAGUGGAACUCCAUGUGUAGCGGUGAAAUGCGUAGAUAUAUGGAAGAACACCAGUGGCGAAGGCGGCUGUCUGGUCUGUAACUGACGCUGAGGCUCGAAAGUAUGGGUAGCAAACAGGAUUAGAUACCCUGGUAGUCCAUACCGUAAACGAUGAAUGCUAAGUGUUGGAGGGUUUCCGCCCUUCAGUGCUGCAGCUAACGCAUUAAGCAUUCCGCCUGGGGAGUACGGCCGCAAGGCUGAAACUCAAAGGAAUUGACGGGGGCCCGCACAAGCGGUGGAGCAUGUGGUUUAAUUCGAAGCUACGCGAAGAACCUUACCAGGUCUUGACAUACUAUGCAAAUCUAAGAGAUUAGACGUUCCCUUCGGGGACAUGGAUACAGGUGGUGCAUGGUUGUCGUCAGCUCGUGUCGUGAGAUGUUGGGUUAAGUCCCGCAACGAGCGCAACCCUUAUUAUCAGUUGCCAGCAUUAAGUUGGGCACUCUGGUGAGACUGCCGGUGACAAACCGGAGGAAGGUGGGGAUGACGUCAAAUCAUCAUGCCCCUUAUGACCUGGGCUACACACGUGCUACAAUGGAUGGUACAACGAGUUGCGAACUCGCGAGAGUAAGCUAAUCUCUUAAAGCCAUUCUCAGUUCGGAUUGUAGGCUGCAACUCGCCUACAUGAAGUCGGAAUCGCUAGUAAUCGCGGAUCAGCAUGCCGCGGUGAAUACGUUCCCGGGCCUUGUACACACCGCCCGUCACACGCAUGAGAGUUUGUAACACCCAAAGUCGGUGGGGUAACCUUUUAGGAACCAGCCG